GACGAACGCUGGCGGCGUGCCUAAUACAUGCAAGUCGAACGCUGAAGGAGGAGCUUGCUUCUCUGGAUGAGUUGCGAACGGGUGAGUAACGCGUAGGUAACCUGCCUGGUAGCGGGGGAUAACUAUUGGAAACGAUAGCUAAUACCGCAUAAUAGUAGAUGUUGCAUGACAUUUGCUUAAAAGGUGCAAUUGCAUCACUACCAGAUGGACCUGCGUUGUAUUAGCUAGUUGGUGAGGUAACGGCUCACCAAGGCGACGAUACAUAGCCGACCUGAGAGGGGGAUCGGCCACACUGGGACUGUGACACGGCCCAGACUCCUACGGGAGGCAGCAGUAGGGAAUCUUCGGCAAUGGACGGAAGUCUGACCGAGCAACGCCGCGUGAGGGAAGAAGGUUUUCGGAUCGUAAAGCUCUGUUGUAAGAGAAGAACGAGUGUGAGAGUGGAAAGUUCACACUGUGACGGUAUCUGACCAGAAAGGGACGGCUAACUACGUG
rnacentral:rRNA from 1 species